AUAGUUCUCUUUUAUGGUUAAAGUCUAAAUUAUUAUUAAAUGAACUCUUAAAUAUCCUGGAUUUUUAUUCAUUUGUGGGGAAUGAAGCACUGCCUAAUCCUGUUUGAACAACAGGAAGACCAAUAGSAUCUAUGAUGGUAUUGAACAAAAAGAAAGCAGGUGGAGAGAAAACAAUAGACUUUAUUGUCUUUGAGUUUUAUUUUUCCCUGUCCUUUCACCUGCUUCAAUAACUGAGGCGUAAUAAUCCAGUAACUGUCAAACUGAUAGGACUUUUGCUCUGCAGCCACUAUCUCACCAAUCAUUUUGGGAAAAGGAACUAACAAACCGCAAGGCUGCAGCCUGUGGGAAGAGCACAGCUGCCUCUACCAGACUUUCUCUAGCACUGUUGGAUUUACUUCACGGCAGACACUGAUCUUCCAUAUUUGGUGGCAGGCAGAGCACACAAGCUUCAACAMAUCGUGCAGAGCAAGGUGACUAGAGGAGAUAGUAACUGUACCACAGGUUAUGAUGACUGCUGGAAUAAAACAAGAGGAGAAAAAAAUACAGGAAAAAGAAAAGAGAAGGUCUAACAGCAUCACUCCUCCAACAUGAAGAUCUCCUGAGACCUGUAGCGUAAAUUCCUUUUGCACCUCUUCAUGCUGAUGAUCGACUAUCACCAUCAGUUCCCAAGAAUUGGACCCGUAUUCACUUGAGGAAGUCAUUUCUGGUAAUGUCUGGAUAAGCUCUGCAGAAGACGAAAAAAAAAAAAAAAAAUCUUUUCAUCCUUGAAAUAAAUUUAUCUCACCAAAGUCCCCAAACACUUCCUGGCUGCCAAGACUUCACAGUGGCCUUGGCUGAAAUGACAGAUGAGGUAUCUUGUUACCUCUGUACUAGACUCUACUUCUGUAAUUACUCUUGCAAGAUAGGAAUGUGUGGGGGUUUUUUUGUUUGUUUGUUUUGUUAUUAUUCUGAAUGUUUUGGAGUUUUUUUUCUUUCUCCAGUUGUCUUGUUGGGUAGAGAUAGCCCAAGUUUCCCCACUCUUCAGUGCUGAUCUGGCAUUGGGACAACAUAAAGCCUGCAGUUCACUGUCCAGGGAACAGAGUAGCUUCACUGAAUUGUACAUAUAUUGCUGUAAUU